rnacentral:rRNA from 1 species
AUGGCGGCCGCGACCUCCUCCUUCGCCACGCUCGCCAUCGCCCGCCCGGCGGCGGCGGGGCCGGCGGCGCAGAGGGCGCUCCUCGCCUCGAAGGCCCCCUCGUCGGCGCUCUCCCUCCGCGGCGGCCGCAUCGCGUCCCCGGCCCUCUCCGUCUCCCAGCAGAGCCGCGCGCGCUUCGUCCCCUCCGCCACCGCCGAACCCUAUGCACCUGAGCUUCAGUCCAAAGUUACAAACAAGGUGUACUUUGACAUAAGCAUUGGCAACCCUGUCGGGAAGAACGUUGGGAGGAUUGUCAUCGGGCUGUAUGGGGAUGAUGUUCCCCAAACCGUUGAGAACUUCCGUGCUCUCUGCACUGGGGAGAAAGGGUUCGGAUACAAGGGAUCAAGUUUCCACCGUGUCAUUAAGGACUUCAUGAUUCAGGGGGGAGACUUUGACAAGGGCAACGGUACUGGAGGGAAAAGCAUAUAUGGCCGCACCUUUAAGGAUGAGAACUUCCAAUUGGUUCAUACUGGACCUGGAGUGCUCAGCAUGGCGAAUGCUGGACCGAACACCAACGGCAGCCAAUUCUUCAUCUGCACAGUCAAGACACCGUGGCUGGACGGGAGACACGUUGUCUUUGGCCAGGUUCUUGAAGGCAUGGACAUCGUAAGGACGAUAGAGUCAUCAGAGACCGACAGAGGUGACCGUCCGAAGAAGAAGGUGGUCAUUAGUGAGUGCGGGGAGCUUCCAGUGGUCUGA